rnacentral:rRNA from 1 species
GCUUGUCUCAAAGAUUAAGCCAUGCAUGUCUAAGUUUAAAUAGAAAACAGUGAAACUGCGAAUGGCUCAUUAAAUAAUUUUGCAUAUACAAGAUAGUCAACUCUACUUGGAUAACCGUGGUAAUUCUAGAGCUAAUACAUGCUAAAAACCCCGACUUCGGAAGGGGUGUAUUUAUUAGAUACAAAACCAAUGCCCUUCGGGGCUCCUUGGUGAUUCAUGAUAACUAUACGAAUCGCACGGCCUUGCGCCGGCGAUGGUUCAUUCAAAUUUCUUCCCUAUCAACUUUCGAUGUUUGGGUAUUGGCCAAACAUGGUUGCAACGGGUAACGGAGGGUUAGGGCUCGACCCCGGAGAAGGAGCCUGAGAAACGGCUACUACAUCCAAGGAAGGCAGCAGG